AGUGAACGCUGGCGGUAGUGCCUAACACAUGCAAGUCGAACGGCAGCACGAGAGAGCUUGCUCUCUUGGUGGCGAGUGGCGGACGGGUGAGGAAUACAUCGGAAUCUACCUUGUCGUGGGGGAUAACGUAGGGAAACUUACGCUAAUACCGCAUACGACCUACGGGUGAAAGCGGAGGACCUUCGGGCUUCGCGCGACUAGAUGAGCCGAUGUCGGAUUAGCUUGUUGGCGGGGUAAAAGCCCACCAAGGCGACGAUCCGUAGCUGGUCUGAGAGGAUGAUCAGCCACACUGGAACUGAGACACGGUCCAGACUCCUACGGGAGGCAGCAGUGGGGAAUAUUGGACAAUGGGCGCAAGCCUGAUCCAGCCAUGCCGCGUGAGUGAAGAAGGCCUUAGGGUUGUAAAUCUCUUUCGGCGGGGAAGAUAAUGACGGUACCCGCGGAAGAAGCCCCGGCUAACUCCGUGCCAGCAGCCGCGGUAAUACGGAGGGGGCUAGCGUUGUUCGGAAUUACUGGGCGUAAAGGGCACGUAGGCUGGCUGUUAAGUCGGGGGUGAAAUCCUGAGGCUCAACCUCAGAACUUUGCCUCCGAUACUGGCGNGUCUACGANNUGCGGGAGAGGUGAGUGGAAUUCCCAGUGUAAG
rnacentral:rRNA from 1 species